rnacentral:rRNA from 1 species
CAAUAGCGUAUAUUAAAGUUGUUGCAGUUAAAAAGCUCGUAGUCGGACUUCUGGCCGUGAGCGCGGGUCCGCCGCAAGGUGUGCACUCGCGUUGGCGGCCAUCCUCUCGAGGAGGCGGCGUGCUCUUUAUUGAGUGUGUCGUCGACUCGGGACCUUUACUUUGAAAAAAUUAGAGUGUUCAAAGCAGGCCUUCGCUUGAAUACAUUAGCAUGGAAUAAUGGAAUAGGACUUUGGUUCUAUUUUGUUGGUUUCUAGGACCGAAGUAAUGAUUAAUAGGGAUAGUUGGGGGCAUUAGUAUUUAAUUGUCAGAGGUGAAAUUCUUGGAUUUAUGAAAGACUAACAUCUGCGAAAGCAUUUGCCAAGGAUGUUUUCAUUGA